rfam:Cucumis melo, WGS project CAJI01000000 data, contig: 12232
ACUACCUUACCUAAAGAGGAUUUGUAUAUAGGUUGUACAUUUGUGUCCUUGAGUUCUAAGGAGACAAGAACCUAAGUCUGGUAGAUGAACUGUUGACCUUGUGGCUAGAGCGUGAUUAACUACCAAUGGGCGUUGGUCCAAUGGUUAUAGAGGAUCGUUCUUGGCAGGUUCAACCUGCUGGGAUGGCCACGAGACAGUAUGGCAGGCU